GGGAUAUUGGCGCAGUUGGUUAGCGCGCUUCCUUGACAUGGAAGAGGUCAGCAGUUCGAGUCUGCUAUAUCCCA
rnacentral:tRNA from 1 species